AGAACUUAGCAGAGAUGCUUUGGUGCCUUCGGGAACUCUGAGACAGGUGCUGCAUGGCUGUCGUCAGCUCGUGUUGUGAAAUGUUGGGUUAAGUCCCGCAACGAGCGCAACCCUUAUCCUUUGUUGCCAGCGGUCCGGCCGGGAACUCAAAGGAGACUGCCAGUGAUAAACUGGAGGAAGGUGGGGAUGACGUCAAGUCAUCAUGGCCCUUACGAGUAGGGCUACACACGUGCUACAAUGGCGCAUACAAAGAGAAGCGACCUCGCGAGAGCAAGCGGACCUCAUAAAGUGCGUCGUAGUCCGGAUUGGAGUCUGCAACUCGACUCCAUGAAGUCGGAAUCGCUAGUAAUCGUGGAUCAGAAUGCCACGGUGAAUACGUUCCCGGGCCUUGUACACAUCGCCCGUCACACCAUGGGGGUGGGUUGCAAAAGAAGUAGGUAGCUUAACCUUCGGGAGGGCGCUUACCACUUUGUGAUUCAUGACUGGGGUGAAGUCGUAACAAGGUAAGCGUAGUGCU
rnacentral:rRNA from 1 species